rnacentral:lncRNA from 1 species
UGUGAUACAAACCUCAAGGCUUCGAAAUGCGUGCACACGUGACUGCAGAAACUGAAGUGUUGAAUCGCUUGCCGAUUUGGUGAAAUUUAGUUCAAUUUGAACGUGUAGAUACAUGUGUGGAGAUAAGCGUUUUUAAAAAAAUGAGUCUUUGUGCACUACAAUACGCUACUAUGUUAACUACUCCACGAUACCUUUUUUUUUCUGAAGUACUACCAAUUUCUUACUUUAUGAUUGAUGAUUUUUCACCAGCUGAUUUAUGAUUGCUAUCAUCUGUCCGCGGGCGAAUUGGUGCAGCCCAAGCUGAAGCUCUUUGGCACUCACACUCGUCCUCAGCACCAUCCUCCUCACAGCCUCUUAAUUGCUGUUUCGAAAAUCUGCUGGUUGACGAUUGACGUCCAGCUUCUAAUCAGGCAUGGGGUGCAGACGAACUCUCGAUGACGUUUGAUUGGAGUCCUAAAUGUUCCUUGAUCGAGGACUUGCUCCGAAUGAACCUUGGGCAAAAAAUUUAGUCACCCUUGAAUGAUUUUCCUAGAACUCCUGGCUUUAAGUCCUGGUUCACUGGGCCAGAUUACUAGGAAACUUGCUGAGGGGAAGAGCUGAUGACGUUCAAUCGCCCCUCCGCAAUGGUGCGGCGCAGUGCCGCAUUCAACCAGGCCUCGUCCACAACAUCAUUCGACGAAGAAAGGACCGUGAAUUUCUUGGGAUUAUAGAUCGCCGGAACAUCGGCCCUUGUCUCGUCAACAACGCCCUUCCCUUUCUCUACUCUCGAUGUCAUAGGAAGCCCCUCUGACUCACUGUAACUCCUCCCCACCCUCUCGUAUCUCCUCCUCAUCAGAGCCCGCGCGAGCUUGUGAUGAAUCUCCAUCGUCGGGAUAAUGCAACUUUCUCUGAAACCCACCUGCUCUCUCACUCUUUACUCUCUUUGUGAACUUGUCGGAGGUGAAACUCACCCGCUCUUACACUCUUUCCUUUCCUUGUGAACUUGUCGGAGAUGAAACCCACCUGGUGUCUCGCUCUUUCCUAUCUCUGUGAACUUGUUGGAGGUGAAACCCACAUGCUCUCUCGCUCUCUUUUCUGUGUGUGAACUUGUCGGAGGUGAAUGAAUUACUGAGGCUCUCAGACUGGAACUGCGACGCGGCGGUCACGAUGAAGAGUUGGCAAAAGAGAUUGUGAAGAGAAGCGAGGGGGAAGGGAAGAUUAUAUGUGAAGCAGCAGGAGAAGGGCUGCGUGGGUGGUAGUGGUGGGCUUUGCUUUUCCAUUAGACGGAAUGGCGAUGGAAUUGUGCAGGUCGCCAUGAAAUGGCGGACGCGGCACCGCUAGGACGGCUGGGGCUGAGGGUGAGGGCGCGUGUGACGCGGGUCCACAGCACUUGUGGUAAGGAACCCGGCCGGUCCUCUCGUCAACCUCGUGUUUUCAUCCCUCACGCGCAUCGGUAUAUACUACCAGGAUCUGAAUGAAUGAAUGGAUGAAUGAAUUAUUUAUUU